GACGAACGCUGGCGGCGUGCUUAACACAUGCAAGUCGAACGGUGAAGCGCUUUCCUUUUUGGUUGGUGUGGAUGAGUGGCGAACGGGUGAGUAACACGUGAGUAACCUGCCCCCUUCUUCUGGAUAACCGCAUGAAAGUGUGGCUAAUACGGGAUAUUCUGCGCCUGCUGCAUGGUGGGUGUGGGAAAGAUUGUGCCUUUGGGUGUUUUCGGUGGGGGAUGGGCUUGCGGCCUAUCAGCUUGUUGGUGGGGUGAUGGCCUACCAAGGCGGUGCCGGGUAGGAGGCCUGAGAGGGUGGACGGUAACAAUGGGACUGAGAAACGGCCAAGACUGCUACGGGAGGCAGCAGUGGGGAAUAUUGCACAAUGGGCGCAAGCCUGAUGCAGCGAAGCCGAGUGAGGGAUGGAGGCCUUCGGGUUGUGAACCUCUGUAGAAAGUGAAGCAGGCCUGAUCCUUGUGGUGGGUUGACGGUAGCUGGAUAAGAAGCGCCGGCUAACUACG
rnacentral:rRNA from 1 species